rnacentral:rRNA from 1 species
UACGGGAGGCAGCAGUGGGGAAUAUUGCACAAUGGGCGCAAGCCUGAUGCAGCCAUGCCGCGUGUAUGAAGAAGGCCUUCGGGUUGUAAAGUACUUUCAGUCGUGAGGAAGGUGUUAAGGUUAAUAACCUUAGCAAUUGACGUUAGCGACAGAAGAAGCACCGGCUAACUCCGUGCCAGCAGCCGCGGUAAUACGGAGGGUGCGAGCGUUAAUCGGAAUUACUGGGCGUAAAGGGCACGCAGGCGGUUAAUUAAGUUGGAUGUGAAAUCUCCGGGCUUAACCUGGGAAUGGCAUUCAAGACUGGUUAGCUAGAGUCUUGUAGAGGGGGUAGAAUUCCAUGUGUAGCGGUGAAAUGCGUAGAGAUGUGGAGGAAUACCGGUGGCGAAGGCGGCCCCUGGACAAAGACUGACGCUCAUGUGCGAAAGCGUGGGGAGCAAACAGGAUUAGAUACC